AGAAUCAACGCUGGCGGCGUGCCUAACACAUGCAAGUCGAACGCGAAAGUCCCGAAAGGGAUUAGUAGAGUGGCAAACGGGUGAGUAACACGUGGGUGACCUGCCUUCGAGCGGGGGAUAACGUCCCGAAAGGGACGCUAAUACCGCAUAACAUCCUGCCUUUUAAGAGGUGGAGAUCAAAGCCGGGGAUUCGCAAGAACCUGGCACUUGAAGAGGGGCCCGCGCCUGAUUAGCUAGUUGGUGGGUAAUGGCCUACCAAGGCAACGAUCAGUAUCC
rnacentral:rRNA from 1 species